UACGGAGGAUGCGAGCGUUAUCCGGAUUUAUUGGGUUUAAAGGGUGCGUAGGCGGCGGUGCAAGUCAGCGGUAAAAGCCCGGGGCUCAACCCCGGCGAGCCGUUGAAACUGCAGUGCUAGAGAAGGCGAGAGGUACGCGGAAUGCGCAGUGUAGCGGUGAAAUGCUUAGAUAUUGCGCAGAACUCCGAUUGCGAAGGCAGCGUACUGGCGCCUGACUGACGCUGAGGCACGAAAGCGUGGGGAUCGAACAGG
rnacentral:rRNA from 1 species